UACGGAGGGCGCAAGCGUUGUUCGGAAUCAUUGGGCGUAAAGCGGGUGUAGGCUGCUUGACAAGUCGGGUGUGAAAUCCCAGGGCCCAACCCUGGAACUGCACUCGAAACUGUCUCGCUAGAGUCCCGGAGAGGAUGGCAGAAUUCCCGGUGUAGAGGUGAAAUUCGUAGAUAUCGGGAGGAAUACCAGUGGCGAAGGCGGCCAUCUGGACGGUGACUGACGCUCAGACCCGAAAGCGUGGGGAGCAAACAGGAUUAGAUACCCCCGUA
rnacentral:rRNA from 1 species